GGCCCCCUUAAUGCCCCCUGGUUUAGGUGCAAAAGGUGGUGGUGUCAGAUAAGUGUCAUGAGUGGUGUGUGGAUGUACACGGUCCAGUUCAGAUGAGUCUUUACCUGAUAUCGGCCCAAUGACCUUGACGAUGCGGAAUAGUUCAUCAGCAGAUGCAGCAGCCACCGGCCUCUAGCUCCAGCACCACCUCGUUGUCACCGCAGAUGCAGCAGCAAAAAAAAAAACACAAUUGUAUACAUAAUUUGUGUGUAUCACUUUAGUAAUCUACCCAGCACUGUUUUAGUUCAGUUUGGACUUUGACUUAAUUUGCACAAUUCCCCUGCCCGCAUUUGUCACCAUGGUUACUAAUUUGAUUUUUGAUCCCAUUCAGCUGUGUCACCUCGUUAUCCUGUGUAUUUAAGUUCCUAUGUUUUAAGUUUUAGUCAUCCGGUCUUGUCUAUGUUACUGCAGUGUUGUGC